CUCAAUAGUGUGAGAGUAAGGCGCGAAGAGAGUGAGAGAGAGCCACAAGAAUGGCGAAAUUGUGGGGCGUGCGAAGACUGCCACUUCCACAAACCAAAGGACACGAAGGCAGUGCUAAACGAACAAAGAAAAAGAAACAAAAGAAAGAGUAUGCAACUUCUGCAAGCUUUGGUUUUCCAUUCUAAAUCUCUCAUUUUUUAUGAGAAAUGGGAACCAAGAUCGUUAAAAGCUUAAUGAGUUUUUGAUUUGUAUUCAGCAGAGUAGCUACGUUUCUGGGUUUCUCUCUGAGAAUCGAUCAGAAUGGGCAAGCCAGUGACCAUUGUUGUUGGUUCUCAAAUUUGGGUUGAAAAUCCAGAAUUAGUUUGGAUUGACGGAGAAGUAAUAAAUAUUAAGGGAGAGGAUGCUGAGAUUCAAAUUAGUAAUGGGAAUAAGGUCGUUGCAAAGGUGUCAAAAAUAUAUCCAAAGGAUAUGGAAAUGCCUGCUGGUGGAGUUGAUGACAUGACUAAGCUAUCAUACUUGCAUGAACCUGGAGUUCUUUGUAAUUUGGCAACUAGAUAUGAGAGCAAUGAAAUUUAUACUUACACUGGAAACAUUCUCAUCGCCAUCAAUCCAUUCCAAAGUCUCUCACAUCUGUAUGAUACUGUUAUGAUGGAACGGUAUAAUGGAGUGCCAUUUGGAGAACUGGGUCCUCAUGUUUUUGCAAUAGCUGAUGCUGCAUACAGGGAAAUGAUUAAUGAGGGUAAAAGCAACUCUAUUCUGGUUAGUGGGGAAAGCGGAGCUGGUAAGACUGAAACAACUAAAAUGCUUAUGCGCUACCUUGCCUAUUUGGGCGGAAAUGCUGCAGCUGAAGGACGGACUGUUGAACAACAAGUUUUAGAAUCAAAUCCAGUUCUUGAAGCCUUUGGUAACGCUAAAACUGUUAAGAAUAACAAUUCCAGCCGCUUUGGGAAAUUUGUCGAGAUUCAAUUUGAUAAACGUGGUAGAAUAUCGGGGGCAGCCAUCAGAACUUAUCUCUUAGAGAGAUCUCGUGUUUGCCAAAUUUCUGAUUUAGAGCGUAACUAUCACUGUUUUUAUCUCCUUUGUGCUGCUCCGGAACAGGAAAAAGAGAAGUAUAAGUUGGGAGAUCCUAAGUCAUAUCACUAUCUUAAUCAAUCAAAUUGCUAUCAACUGGAUGGUAUAAGUGAUGAACAUAAUUAUCUCUCCACAAGGAGAGCCAUGGAUGUUGUUGGAAUAAGUGUAGUAGAACAGGAGGCUAUUUUCAGUGUUGUUGCUGCAAUUCUUCAUCUUGGUAAUAUUGAUUUUGCCAAUGGGGAAGAUAAUGAUUCAUCUGUUCUGAAAAAUGACGAAUCCCUUUUUCAUCUUCAAAUGACAGCAGAACUUCUAAUGUGUAAUCCUCGUGCACUGGAAGAUGCACUGUGUAAGCGUGUAAUGGUUACUCCAGAAGAAAUUAUUAAAAGAAGUCUUGAUCCCCAUGGCGCAACAGUUAGCAGAGAUGGUUUGGCCAAGACCAUAUACUCUCGUUUGUUUGACUGGUUGGUGGACAAAAUCAAUGUCUCAAUUGGACAAGACCCUAGCUCAAAAUGUCUGAUUGGGGUCCUUGAUAUAUAUGGUUUUGAGAGCUUUAAAACUAACAGUUUUGAGCAGUUCUGUAUUAAUUACACUAAUGAAAAGCUGCAACAACAUUUCAACAAGCAUGUAUUCAAGUCGGAACAAGAGGAGUACACUAGAGAGGAAAUUGAUUGGAGCUACAUAGAAUUUGUUGAUAAUAAAGAUGUCCUGGAUCUCAUUGAACAGAAAAAAGGUGGAAUUAUUGCUCUGCUUGAUGAAGCUUGCAUGUUUCCAAAAUCAACUCAUGACACAUUUUCACAAAAGCUGUAUCAGACAUUCAAAGAUAACAAACGCUUCAUCAAGCCAAAACUGACCCGCUCAGAUUUCACCAUUGUUCAUUAUGCAGGAGAAGUACAAUAUCAGUCUGAUCAAUUUCUAGACAAAAAUAAAGACUAUAUUGUUCCAGAGCAUCGAGAUUUGUUGAGUGCUUCAAAAUGCUCUUUUGUAGCAGGCCUUUUCCCUUCACUUACUGAGGAGGCGGCCAAAUCUUCCAAGUUCUCAUCUAUCAGUUCUCGUUUUAAGCUACAACUCCAACACUUGAUGGAAACACUAAAUGCUACAGAACCCCAUUACAUUAGAUGUAUAAAGCCAAAUAAUGUCCUAAAGCCUGCAAUAUUUGAGAAUAUCAAUGUCGUGCAACAACUACAUUCUGGUGGUGUUUUAGAGGCAGUCCGAAUAAAAUGUGCAGGAUACCCUACUUACAGGAGUUUUUUUGAAUUUUUAACUCGAUUUCGUAUCCUGGCCCCUGAGGUUCUAAAAAUGGACUUUCCUGAAAACGAAGCCUGCGAAAAGAUUCUGGAGAAGAUGGGGCUUAAAGGUUAUCAGAUAGGGAAAACAAAGGUUUUCCUAAGAGCUGGUCAGAUGGCUGAGCUAGAUGCAAAGAGAGCACUCAUGCUUGGCGACUCAGCUAAGGUGAUUCAAAGGCGAGGCCGAACUCAUAUUACUCGUAGAAAGUAUGUUUCUAUACAGGAGGCUUCUAUUUGUGUACAAUCAUUUUGCAGAGGAGAAUUGGUUCGCAAGUUAUAUAAGCUCAAGAAGCGGGUGAAUGCUGUAGUUAAAAUUCAGAAGACUGCACGUAAACGCCUGGCGAGAAAAGACUAUAUCAAAAUCUUGUUCUCUUCAGUUGUCUUACAGACUAGUUUACGGGCAAUGGUUGCUCGUGAUGAACUUAGAUAUAGGGUUAAGGUUGCAAUUAUUAUUCAGACAGGUUUACGGGCAAUGGCUGCUCGUGAUGCUUUUAGAUAUAGAGUUAAUGCGGCAGUUAUUAUUCAGACAGGUUUACGAGCAAUGGCUGCUCGUGAUGCUUUUAGAUGUAGAGUGCAAUCUAAGCCGAGAGUUAUUGUUCAGACUGACUUGGAAAAAGCAGAAGGAGAAGAGGCAACAAAGUUGGAGUCCUCUGUGCAAGCUAAUAUAGAAAUUGAAGAUAUUACCAAAGAAAUCCCAAGUCCUGAAAAAAAUGCUGAAAAGAUCAAAAUUCUUACUGCAGAAGUUGAAAAUCUGAAGGCCAUGCUGCAAGCAGAAAAACAAAGAGCCAAUGAGUGUGAAAGGAGAUACGUAGAAGCCCGGGUAUCAAGUGAGGAAGGACGUAAGAAGUUAGAGGAAACUGAAAGAAUAGUACAUCAACUUCAGGACUCUUUGAACAGUGUGUUUCAGGAUGAUAUAUUGCAUGUCAAACCAAGUUUCGGAACUGAAAACAAUCUUAUCUACCGCAUCCAAAUCAAGUUCAACAACUGCAGGACCUUUUGUUAGACACGAAGGGUUCGAUAGCAUUUCCAGUAACUCUGAAUGUUCAUCCACUGACUCAGAUUUUACUUUUCCAGCUCCAACUCCAACCUCAGCUAACUUUUCUUCCCCCUGCACCAAUUCUCUCAAGCUCGUAGUUCAGGACAUUUCAGCCGGAGAUGUUUCAGGAUCUGAAAGUGAGAAGGAGGAGGGGGGGGCUUUUGACGACUUCUUCUGACGGAGCCUGUUCUAAUUAUUUUUCUUCUUUCUUGCUUAGAUAUGGGUCUCUCAUAAAACGUCAGACUUUUGGCACUGUAUAUAGGACACCAGACUUGAACAUAUCGUCCCGUAUGCUUCAUACAGGAUCAUAGAUCGACAAAUUUCUCUCAGGAAGCUGUAGAUCAUUUAGUCAGGUAGUGUUAGCAAAGGGGUCAAAUGUAGUAAAUUUUAGAGUAGUAUGUAGUUUGACCUCAUCCACUAACAUACUUUGUGAUUUCACUUUGCCCUGAUAACUGGCCAUGGGCUUAUCGUGCGUAAAUGUUGAUCAUAAAACUCUCUUGAGUAAGUUCAUUUUCUUCUGCGUUGUCUUUGUAGACUUUACUUUUUAUCCUGUUCAAAUGUAAUGGGACCUCCAUCUCAACUUGAGAAGACAAAAGACCACUUAACAAGAAGCAGCAAGCUAAUGAGGAGUUCGCCAUCAAUGUAUAGCCCAA